GAUGAACGCUGGCGGCGUGCCUAAUACAUGCAAGUCGAGCGGUAAGGCCCUUCGGGGUACACGAGCGGCGGACGGCUGAGUAACACGUAGGAACGUACCCCAAACUGAGGGAUAAGCACCAGAAAUGGUGUCUAAUACCGCAUGUGCUCUAAGGAGUAAAGCUACGGCGGUUUGGGAACGGCCUGCGUAUGAUUAGAUUGUUGGUGAGGUAAUGGCUCACCAAGUCGACGAUCAUUAGCUGGUCUGAGAGGAUGAUCAGCCAGACUGGGACUGAGAACGGCCCAGACUCCUACGGGAGGCAGCAGUAGGGAAUUUUCCACAAUGGGCGAAAGCCUGAUGGAGCAACGCCGCGUGCAGGAUGAAGGCCUUCGGGUUGUAAACUGCUUUUAUCUGUGACGAAUAUGACGGUAGCAGAUGAAUAAGGAUCGGCUAACUCCGUGCCAGCCGCCGCGGUAAAAC
rnacentral:rRNA from 1 species